rnacentral:tRNA from 1 species
GCGGGCACAGCUCAGUGGUAGAGCACAUGCUUAGCAUGCAUGAGGUCGGGGGUUCGGUCCCCAGUACCUCCA